UGGGGAAUUUUGCGCAAUGGGGGAAACCCUGACGCAGCGACGCCUCGUGAGUGAUGAAGUCUUUCGGGAUGUAAAGCUCUGUCGGCAGGGACGAUUAUGACGGUACCUGCAAAGGAAGCUCCGGCUAACUACGUGCCAGCAGCCGCGGUAAUACGUAGGGAGCGAGCGUUGUCCGGAUUUAUUGGGCGUAAAGCGUGCGUAGGUGGUUCAGUAAGUUAGAUGUUAAAGGCAGAGGCUCAACCUCUGUUUGCGUCUAAAACUGUUGGACUAGAGGACAGGAGAGGGAAGCGGAACUCACAGUGUAGCGGUGAAAUGCGUAGAUAUUGUGAGGAACACCAGUGGCGAAGGCGGCUUCCUGGACUGUAACUGACACUGAGGCACGAAAGCAUGGGGAGCAAACAGG
rnacentral:rRNA from 1 species